GAUGAAGAACGCAGCGAAAUGCGAUAAGUAGUGUGAAUUGCAGAAUUCAGUGAAUCAUCGAAUCUUUGAACGCACAUUGCGCCCCUUGGUAUUCCAUGGGGCAUGCCUGUUCGAGCGUCAUUUGUACCUUCAAGCUUUGCUUGGUGUUGGGUGUUUGUCUCGCCUUUGCGUGUAGACUCGCCUUAAAAUAAUUGGCAGGCGGCGUAUUGAUUUCGGAGCGCAGUACAUCUCGCGCUUUGCACUCAUAACGACAGCGUCCAAAAGUACAUUUUACACUCUUGACCUCGGAUCAGGUAGGGAUACCCGCUGAACUUAAGCAUAUCAAUAAGCGGAGGA
rnacentral:misc_RNA from 1 species